rnacentral:rRNA from 1 species
CCUACGGGAGGCAGCAGUGAGGAAUAUUGGUCAAUGGCCGGAAGGCUGAACCAGCCAAGCCGCGUGAAGGACGAAGGUGCCAAGCAUUGUAAACUUCUUUUGUCAAGGGACAAAAUCAGGCUCGAGAGCCUGACCGAGGGUACUUGAAGAAAAAGCAUCGGCUAACUCCGUGCCAGCAGCCGCGGUAAUACGGAGGUGGCAAGCGUUGUCCGGAUUUACUGGGUGUAAAGGGCGUGCAGCCGGAGAGACAAGUCAGAUGUGAAAUCCACAGGCUUAACCUGUGAACUGCAUUUGAAACUGUUUCCCUUGAGUAUCGGAGAGGUCAUCGGAAUUCCUGGUGUAGCGGUGAAAUGCGUAGAUAUUAGGAAGAACACUAGUGGCGAAGGCGGAUGACUGGACGACAACUGACGGUGAGGCGCGAAAGCGUGGGGAGCAAACAGGAUUAGAUACCCGAGUAGUC